UAAAGAAAGUAAGAAAGGGCGUAUGGCGGAUGCCUAGGCUCACGGAGGCGAUGAAGGACGUGAUAAGCUGCGAUAAGCUUCGGGUAGGUGCAAAUAACCUUUGAUCCGGAGAUUUCCGAAUGGGACAACCUAGCCGUCUGAAGGACGGUUACUCAUCUUCAAGUUUUAGAGCUAACGCAGGGAACUGAAACAUCUUAGUACCUGUAGGAAGAGAAAAUAAAUGAAUGAUUCCCCUAGUAGUGGCGAGCGAACGGGGACCAGCCCAAACCAGUGGCGUCGCAAGGCGUGGCUGGGGUUGUAGGACCGCGACAUUGUAUGCAAAUCGUGAACAGAACACUUUGGAAAAUGUGACCAUAGACGGUGAUAGUCCAGUAUGUGAAGCGAAAUGCGGCAUAGCGGUAUCCUGAGUAACGCGGGACACGAGGAAUCCUGCGCGAAUCUGCCGGGACCAUCCGGUAAGGCUAAAUACUCCCGUGAGACCGAUAGCGAACGAGUACUGUGAAGGAAAGGUGAAAAG
rnacentral:rRNA from 1 species